rnacentral:rRNA from 1 species
GACGAACGCUGGCGGCGUGCUUAACACAUGCAAGUCGAACGGAAAGGCCCUGCUUUUGUGGGGUGCUCGAGUGGCGAACGGGUGAGUAACACGUGAGUAACCUGCCCUUGACUUUGGGAUAACUUCAGGAAACUGGGGCUAAUACCGGAUAGGAGCUCCUGCUGCAUGGUGGGGGUUGGAAAGUUUCGGCGGUUGGGGAUGGACUCGCGGCUUAUCAGCUUGUUGGUGGGGUAGUGGCUUACCAAGGCUUUGACGGGUAGCCGGCCUGAGAGGGUGACCGGCCCCAUUGGGCCUGCGCUACGGCCCAGACUCCUACGGGAGGCAGCAGUGGGGAAUAUUGCACAAUGGGCGGAAGCCUGAUGCAGCAACGCCGCGUGCGGGAUGACGGCCUUCGGGUUGUAAACCGCUUUCGCCUGUGACGAAGCGUGAGUGACGGUAAUGGGUAAAGAAGCACCGGCUAACUACGUG